rnacentral:tRNA from 1 species
GGAGGUAGCCCAGUAGCAGAGCACAGGCUUUGCAUACCUGCAGUCCCAAGUUCGAUUCCUGGCUCCA